UGGGGAAUAUUGGACAAUGGGCGAAAGCCUGAUCCAGCAAUGCCGCGUGAGUGAUGAAGGCCUUAGGGUUGUAAAGCUAUUUUACCCGGGAUGAUAAUGACAGUACCGGGAGAAUAAGCCCCGGCUCACUCCGUGCCAGCAGCCGCGGUAAUACGGGGGGGGCAAGCGUUGUUCGGAAUUACUGGGCGUAAAGGGCGCGUAGACGGUUCGCUAAGUCGGAUGUGAAAACUCUGGGCUCAACCCAGAGCCUGCAUCCGAAACUGGCGGGCUAGAGCUCUGGAGGGGGUAGCGGAAUUCCUGGUGUAGCGGUGAAAUGCGUAGAUAUCAGGAGGAACACCGGUGGCGAAGGCGGCUACCUGGACAGAAACUGACGCUGAGGCGCGAAAGCUAGGGGAGCAAAC
rnacentral:rRNA from 1 species